GCCGAAUGGUCUAAACACGGACCCAGCCUAUGGGCGCACAGCGAGAAACUUUCAAUGUCGAAAGCACGACAAGGUUAAUCCGAGUAUUUGUGCUAAACGAAUCUUUUGUUAGUCCUAGAAACACUAACGAAUAAGGGUGGGCAAGUUCUGGUGUCAGCCGCCGCGGUAAAACCAGCACCUCAAGUGGUCAGGAUGAUUAUUGGGCCUAAAGCAUCCGUAGCCGGCUCUGUAAGUUUUCGGUUAAAUCUGUACGCUCAACGUACAGGCUGCCGGGAAUACUGCAGAGCUAGGGAGUGGGAGAGGUAGACGGUACUCGGUAGGAAGGGGUAAAAUCCUUUGAUCUAUUGAUGACCACCUGUGGCGAAGGCGGUCUACCAGAACACGUCCGACGGUGAGGGAUGAAAGCUGGGGGAGCAAACCGGAUUAGAUACCCGGGUAGUCCCAGCUGUAAACUAUGCAAACUCAGUGAUGCAUUGACUUGUGGUCAAUGCAGUGCUGCAGGGAAGCCGUUAAGUUUGCCGCCUGGGAAGUACGUACGCAAGUAUGAAACUUAAAGGAAUUGACGG
rnacentral:rRNA from 1 species